rnacentral:rRNA from 1 species
AUACGUAGGGGGCGAGCGUUGUCCGGAAUGAUUGGGCGUAAAGGGCGCGUAGGCGGCCCGGUAAGUCUGGAGUGAAAGUCCUGUUUUUAAGAUGGGAAUUGCUUUGGAUACUGUCGGGCUUGAGUGCAGGAGAGGUAGGUGGAAUUCCCAGUGUAGCGGUGAAAUGCGUAGAGAUUGGGAGGAACACCAGUGGCGAAGGCGACUUACUGGACUGUAACUGACGCUGAGGCGCGAAAGUGUGGGGAGCAAACAGGAUUAGAUACCCUGGUAGUCCACACUGUAAACGAUGAAUGCUAGGUGUAGGGGGUAUCGACCCCUUCUGUGCCGCAGUCAACACAAUAAGCAUUCCGCCUGGGGAGUACGGCCGCAAGGUUGAAACUCAAAUGAAUUGGCGGGG